UUACAAAUGUGUCGAGGUUUGUGAUUGGAUAACAACACAGAGAUGUCAGUAUAUAUUCAGGAAGCUGCCGGGGUAUAUACGACGUUUUUGUCCCCAAUUGGAACCUCAAAAACGUCAUCAUAACACCGGUUACUAUGUGACGUAAUCAAAAGCUAUCAGACUGUCAGAGGAUCACAGAGGGAAAAUAAUGACGUGCUUCAGUCAAUAAAACAUUUUUGAUACAAAAUCACGCAAUUUACACUUUUAAUACUUAAAUUUAAUGUUAAAAGUGUUAUUAUAAAUUAUUACAUACACGAUAAAUAAAGGCAACAGUAGUAUACCGCUGUAGUAUACCGAUAAAAUUAUGUUCACAGCAAAUUAGAAAAUCCUUCACGUAUGACGAACAUAUCAGGUUGGGUUUUUCAAUAUAUAUGUGUUGUCAACAAAUACCUGCA
rnacentral:lncRNA from 1 species